UCUCCGUUGGUGAACCAGCGGAGGGAUCAUUAUCGAGUUACCACUCUAUAACCCUUUGUGAACAUACCUACAUGUUGCUUCGGCGGUCGGCCCCCCGGGCCCCCGGCCCCGCUCACGCGGGGCGUCCGCCGGAGGAUAACCAAACUCUGAUUUAACGACGUUUCUUCUGAGUGGCACAAGCAAAUAAUCAAAACUUUUAACAACGGAUCUCUUGGUUCUGGCAUCGAUGAAGAACGCAGC
rnacentral:misc_RNA from 1 species